UACGUAGGGUGCAAGCGUUAAUCGGAAUUACUGGGCGUAAAGCGUGCGCAGGCGGUUAUGUAAGACAGGUGUGAAAUCCCCGGGCUUAACCUGGGAACUGCAUUUGUGACUGCAUAGCUAGAGUACGGCAGAGGGGGAUGGAAUUCCGCGUGUAGCAGUGAAAUGCGUAGAUAUGCGGAGGAACACCGAUGGCGAAGGCAAUCCCCCUGGGCCUGUACUGACGCUCAUGCACGAAAGCGUGGGGAGCAAACAGG
rnacentral:rRNA from 1 species